rnacentral:rRNA from 1 species
ACAGAGGGUGCAAACGUUGUUCGGAAUUACUGGGCGUAAAGCGCGUGUAGGCGGCUUCGCAAGUCGGAUGUGAAAUCCCGCGGCUCAACCGUGGAAGUGCAUCUGAAACUGCGUCGCUAGAGUCCCGGAGAGGAAGGUGGAAUACUUGGUGUAGAGGUGAAAUUCGUAGAUAUCAAGUGGAACACCGGUGGCGAAGGCGGCCUUCUGGACGGUGACUGACGCUGAGACGCGAAAGCGUGGGUAGCAAACGGGA